GACGAACGCUGGCGGCGUGCUUAACACAUGCAAGUCGAACGAAGUGGCGAACGGGUGAGUAACGCGUAAUCAACCUGCCCUUCAGAGGGGGACAACAGUGGGAAACGACUGCUAAUACCGCAUACGGAAGGAGGGGAAUGAGUCUGAUGAGCUGGUUUGAGGGGUAACGGCCCACCAAGGCGAUGAUCAGUAGGCGGUCUGAGAGGAUGAACGGCCACCUUGGGACUGGUACACGGCUCAGACUCCUACGGGAGGCAGCAGUGGGGAAUCUUCCGCAAUGGACGAAAGUCUGAAGGAGCAACGCCGCGUGAGUGAUGACGGCCUUCGGGUUGGAAAGCUCUGUUAAUCGGGACGCGUUACCGGAAUAGAAAGCCACGGCUAACUACGUGCCAGCAGCCGCGGUAAUAC
rnacentral:rRNA from 1 species